rnacentral:lncRNA from 1 species
AAAACCUUUGCCAUGAAUUUGCUGAAGGAGUCGCUUUGGGGUAGGCACGAGUAUGGAUCCAACAUUGACAUACUUUGGUAGGCUAGUCAGAUAAGAUUUUGGCUCAUUGGAAUAUUGCCUGAAGUAUAUAUUGAAAUGGACGUAAGAUAUAAUAUAUCUGAUGAACGGAAUGAGGGGCAACCAAAUUUGUUAAUUUGUUCUCGAGACAUAAUGAACUAGAUUUAACAAAUUCAUUCUUCUAUGUUUCAGGUAUACCAUUGUAGGCUAUGGAGCUUGUGGGUUUACGAAACAAGGGGUGUGCAAAGCAAAGUGGGGUGACCAAGCUGGUGAAGAAAGACUAGAUUAAAUUACUAAUUCAAGUUGUGUACUAUUUAUUUUACGAUGUUGAAACUCUAAAGUUAAGAAUUUUGUCAUUUUUGUUUGUGGAUGUAAUGAAAUAUUAUUCUUUUUGGAAUGAGUAAAAGCAGUG